UACGGGGGGGGCAAGCGUUGUUCGGAAUUACUGGGCGUAAAGGGCUCGUAGGCGGCCAACUAAGUCGGACGUGAAAUCCCUCGGCUUAACCGGGGAACUGCGUCCGAUACUGGAUGGCUUGAGUUCGGGAGAGGGAUGCGGAAUUCCAGGUGUAGCGGUGAAAUGCGCAGAUAUCAGGAGGAACACCGGUGGCGAAGGCGGUUCUCUGGGCAUGUCCUGACGCUGAGGAGCGAAAGUGUGGGGAGCGAACAGG
rnacentral:rRNA from 1 species